UGUGGGAGCUGGCUUGCCAGCGAUAGCGUCAGUCCAGGCAGUAAUUCCUCGCCUGUUCCGCCGCCAUCGCUGGCAAGCCAGCUCCCACA
rnacentral:misc_RNA from 1 species